CAAGUCGAACGCGAAAGUGGAGCAAUCCAUGAGUAGAGUGGCAAACGGGUGAGUAACGCGUGGGCGACCUACCUCAGAGUGGGGGAUAACCUUCCGAAAGGAGGGCUAAUACCGCAUGAAAUACCGUGUUUGGAUACACGGAUAUCAAAGCCGGGGAUCGCAAGACCUGGCGCUUGGAGAGGGGCCCGCGUCCGAUUAGCUAGUUGGUGAGGUAACGGCUCACCAAGGCUCCGAUCGGUAUCCGGCCUGAGAGGGCGGACGGACACACUGGAACUGAGACACGGUCCAGACUCCUACGGGAGGCAGCAGUGGGGAAUUGUUCGCAAUGGGCGCAAGCCUGACGACGCAACGCCGCGUGGAGGAUGAAGACUUUCGGGUCGUAAACUCCUUUCGACCGAGAUGAAUUUCCCGCGACCUAACACGUCGCGGGAGUGACAGUAUCGAGGGAAGAAGCCCCGGCUAACUCCGUGCCAGCAGCCGCGGUAAUACGGGGGGGGCAAGCGUUGUUCGGAAUUACUGGGCGUAAAGGGUUUGUAGGUGGCUUGUUAAGUCAGACGUGAAAUCCCUCAGCUUAACUGGGGAACUGCGUCUGAUACUGGCGAGCUUGAGUGCAGGAGAGGAACGCGGAAUUCCAGGUGUAGCGGUGAAAUGCGUAGAUAUCUGGAGGAACACCGGUGGCGAAGGCGGCGUUCUGGACUGCAACUGACACUGAGAAACGAAAGCCAGGGUAGCAAACGGGAUUAGAUACCCCGGUAGUCCUGGCCCUAAACGAUGAAUGCUUGGUGUGGCGGGUAUCGAUCCCUGCCGUGCCGAAGUUAACGCGAUAAGCAUUCCGCCUGGGGAGUACGGUCGCAAGGCUGAAACUCAAAGGAAUUGACGGGGGCCCCGCACAAGC
rnacentral:rRNA from 1 species